UACAGAGGGGGCAAGCGUUGUUCGGAAUUACUGGGCGUAAAGGGCGCGUAGGCGGCCUGCUAAGUCGAACGUGAAAUCCCUGGGCUCAACCCAGGAACUGCGUCCGAUACUGGUUGGCUUGAAUCCGGGAGAGGGAUGUGGAAUUCUCGGUGUAGCAGUGAAAUGCGUAGAUAUCGAGAGGAACACCAGUGGCGAAGGCGAGUCCCUGGACAACACCUGACACUGAGGCACGAAAGCUAGGGGAUCAAACGGG
rnacentral:rRNA from 1 species